UAGUCCACGCCGUAAACGAUGGACACUAGUUGUUGGAAUUAUUCAGUGACUAAGCGAAAGUAAUAAGUGUCCCACCUGGGGAGUACGAUCGCAAGAUUGAAACUCAAAGGAAUUGACGGGGGCCCGCACAAGCGGUGGAGCAUGUGGUUUAAUUCGAUGAUACGCGAGGAACCUUACCAGGGCUUAAAUGUAGACUGACAGCUUUAGAGAUAGAGUUUUCUUCGGACAGAUUACAAGGUGCUGCAUGGUUGUCGUCAGCUCGUGCCGUGAGAUGUUGGGUUAAGUCCCGCAACGAGCGCAACCCUUGUCUUUAGUUGCCAUCAUUUAGUUGGGCACUCUAGAGAAACUGCCGGUGACAAACCGGAGGAAGGUAAGGAUGACGUCAAGUCAGCAUGCCCCUUACGCUCUGGGCUACACACGUGCUACAAUGGUCGUGACAAAGUGGGCAGCGAGGUCGCGAGGCCAAGCUAAUCCCAAAAAAGUAGUCUCAGUUCGGAUAGGACUCUGC
rnacentral:rRNA from 1 species